GCCCCAGCAACAAAGGUUUCUCCUCUGGGUUUCUGUUUCCCUCUUUCAGUUCAGUCUGUCAUCUGAACCAUGAGGAUCUGGUGGCUUCUGCUUGCCAUUGAAAUCUGCACAGGGAACAUAAACUCACAGGACACCUGCAGGCAAGGGCACCCUGGAAUCCCUGGGAACCCCGGUCACAAUGGUCUGCCUGGAAGAGAUGGACGAGACGGAGCGAAGGGUGACAAAGGCGAUGCAGGAGCCUAGUAAAUCUUCCAUUCCACUCUCCUCAAGAGUAAUGGAAGAGAAACAGAGUGAGGAAACCUCCUCGCACCUCCAACAUUCAGACCACGUCCCAAGUCCUUGUCGCAGGAGAGGAACACAAUCAAUUGAGAACCAGGAUGUCCUGGCAGCCCGGGGAAGGAUGGGACGAGUGGAGAGAAGGGAGAACGAGGAGCAGAUGGAAAAGUUGAAGCAAAAGGCAUCAAAGGAAUGUUCAGGUGUCUUUGGUCAAAAACGGAGUAAAAAUACUGCACACCAGAGAUGCUUACGUGAGCUCUGAGGACCAGGCCUCUGGCAGCAUUGUCCUGCAGCUGAAGCUCGGGGAUGAGAUGUGGCUGCAGGUGACAGGAGGAGAGAGGUUCAAUGGCUUGUUUGCUGAUGAGGACGAUGACACAACUUUCACAGGGUUCCUUCUGUUCAGCAGCCAGUGACAGAGGAGAGUUUAUAAAUCUGCCAGACCAUCCAUCAGAA
rnacentral:lncRNA from 1 species